GGUAAAAGCCAAAGAGCUCAAUUUCUGCUCAUGAUACUUAAUAGAACAUAGGGAACAUGAGCCAAUAGCUCAAUGGGUUCAGAUCUGCACCAAGUGCCUGUUGGACGCAGGAUUCUACUGUCUCCAAUAAUAUGUCUCAGAUGCACUAAUUUUUUUUCUUUUUUUGAGACAGAGUCUUACUCUGUUGCCCAGGCUGCGGUGCAAUGGCGCGAUCUUGGCUCACAGUAACCUCCACCUCCCGGGUUCAAGUGAUUCUCCUGCCUCAGCCUCCCGAGUAGUUGGGAUUACAGACACACACCACUGCGCCCGGUAACAACUAAUGUUGGAACUAUGAAAAGCUCUUCUCUACUUUUAACAAAGCUUAGUCACAAACAGUUCCCCAGUUGAUAAGAAAAACUAAAACAACAGAACAAUUGAAAGUCCGAAUCUGCAAGUUCAUCUCUGAGAACCGAAUUUUACAGCCACUCCAGAUUUGUACUCCAAAUGGAUAGUUUGAUUGUAGAAAUCACAUCCCUUCAGUCUGCCAAUGUGAUAACUGCCCAAGAGAAAGUGAUGCCUACAUUCAUAGAUAAUCCCCUUUCCCCCAUCCUAUAUAUAACUGGAGUCAACAGCAGCUGGAGGAAAAUGGCAAGAACUUGGAAUCAAGAUUAGGUUAGAAUAACACUGCUGUAGACAGUUUAUCAGCUCUUCAGCAUAUGUCCAUUUUCCUUGAAGGAUGAGCCUUUAGAAACCUCUGACAAUAAAGUUUAUUUUGCAUCCA